CCGCCGCCGGCGGGGGAGGGGCGCGGCGGGGCGGCGGCGGCGGCGGCGGCGGCAGCAUGGCCGAGGCGGCGGCGGCGGCGGCGGAGGAGGCGGGGGCGCCGUCGCCGCGGGUGGGCGCGUGGCUGCCGGUGCUGGUGGAGCAGAUGGUGAACGACACGCUGGUGGUCACGCUGAGCUGCGGGGAGCGCCGCUUCACCGGCGUCCUGCUCGACUGCACCAAGAAAUCCGGACUGUUCUGUAUCCCAUCCUCCUUUCCGAAGCAUGAGGACCCUCCUGCUGACGCAUGUGCUAAUGGAGCUGCUGGCGGUGGAGAUGCUGUGCAGGGCGAGAUGGAGCCGCAGCCCGCUGGUGAGAAGCCUCCCAAAGGAAAUGGUGACGAGCAAGUACCCCCGCUCCUGCCUCCCCCGCCGCCUGGCAGCCUUCCUCCUUACCCCCCAUACUUCGAGGGAGCUCCCUUUCCUCGUCCGCUGUGGCUGCGGCACACAUACAACCAGUGGGUUCCUCAGCCACCACCACGGACUAUAAAGAGGACGAGGAGGCGUUUGUCACGGAAUAGAGACCCGGGAAGGCUUAUCAUGAGCACUAUCAGGCUGCGGCCAAGACAGGUGCUCUGUGAGAAGUGUAAAAACACUCUGAACCCUGAGGAUGCAAACACAGCUAGGCAGAACGCUAAAACAAGGAGGAAGCUGAGCAUUCAGGACAAAGAGCAGAAAAAGCACAGUGACUCUGACUAUACGGAGAAACGGAACAAAAGAGAAAAGAGAGAGGACGAGAAAUUUUCUGGGGAACUAGUGCAUCGAACGCCAGUUAUAAAAAUAUCCUACAGUACUCCACAAGGGAAAGGCGAAGUUGUAAAAAUCCCUUCCCGGGUUCAUGGCUCGGUCAAACCGUUUUGUCCAGAGCGAAUAUUGCAGAACGGAGGGGAGGACCAAGAGGAGACCAGAGACUCUGAACGGUGUCGAGAAACCAAAUGUUUAAUGGACAAGUCAGCAGGCAGCCAGCUUGCUUCCAUUCCAAAACUGAAGCUCACGAGGCCCGUGCAUUCCAGUGCGGAUGUCCCACCCCCAAAGAUACGGCUGAAGCCCCAUCGCAUAAAUGAUGGUCAGAGUGUUUCAAUUUAUAAGGCAGAACUUAUUGACGAAAUAAACGUCCUUCAGAACAGCAGGGAGUCCAAUGCAGGCGCAUUUUACAACGAUGAAUCUGCAGACAGAAGUUUAGCUGAGAUAUCUUCAGGGAGUUCAGGUGAAGAUGAGGACUUUAAAAGAUUUCCCCAAGGUAAAGAUGGACAUGAUAACUUGGCUUUCCUUAUGAAUUAUCGUAAAAGAAAAGCAGAUUCUUCUAGCUUAUCGGUGUGUAGUAAUGACAGUCUAGAUGAAUCCAAGUCUUCUAGUUCAGAAGUAACAUCACCAGAAAUGUGUGACUUUUUGCCUGGUGAUGAUGCAUCCGUCUCUUCAUCUUCAAAAGAUGAGCGUAAAAUUGUGCCACCGCUAACAGUUAGACUGCAUACCCAAAGUGUGUCUAAAUGUGUCACAGAAGAUGGAAGAACUGUUUCAGUGGGGGAUAUUGUUUGGGGUAAAAUUCAUGGUUUUCCAUGGUGGCCAGCACGUGUUCUUGACAUAAACCUUAGCCAGAAGGAAAACGGGGAGCCUUCAUGGCGAGAAGCUAAAGUAUCGUGGUUUGGUUCUCCAACGACUUCAUUCUUAUCUGUUUCAAAACUCUCUCCUUUCUCUGAAUUUUUCAAACUGAGAUUUAAUCGCAAGAAGAAAGGGAUGUAUCGGAAAGCUAUCACAGAAGCUGCAAAGGCAGUAGAGCAUCUGACUCCGGAAAUCAGAGAUCUCUUAACACAGUUUGAGACAUAACUUUGCCUCUAGUAUCAGAUCCUACGCAACUCCGGCAUCCACUGAAUGGCACUGCUGGCAGAGUGCGGUUAGACCAAAACGACCGGGCAUCCCAACAGAGAGCUCAGCUGUUUCCAGCAGAUCGUGGCGGCGCUGCCGAGCCCACACCGGGUGUGGACUGCCCUGCCAACAGCACAUUUCUACCCACGGAUUUAAAUUAGGCUGCCCUAAUUUAAUCUUUGAAAAAUGACGUCAUAAAAGAAAGGUGAUCUUAAAUGCAGUAAAAAGGCUGGGCGAGUGCAAUGCCUGGAGGAAACGUGCAACGCCCGUCAGCAGCAGGAGCCGCGUCUCUGCCCUGCCAGACCACCCCAGCAGCGUCCCAGCGAGGGCCCCUGGCAGCGCGUUGGGACAGAUGAGAAAGUCACCCCAGGCCUCAGGUUCUUCUGCUAGCUAAAACCAGACAGAGAUUAAUGCCAUUUUCAGGGAGAGAAAAAGAAAGGAGCUCCGUAGGUCAUAUGUGUAAUUCAGGGAUGAAGUUUCAAAGUCUGGAUUUAGAAAUAAUAGCCAAAGGCUCUGAGAGUGUAAUCUAUCACUGGAACCGUGCCAGUGACUAACUAAAAAAGUCUGCCCCAAAACGUAAAAAUCAUGAAUCAUUCCUGAAAGCCAGAAGAUGUUUCGUAACUUUCAUGAUUUCAGACAAACUCUCAGCAUCCUGUUUGCUGCCGGCCUUUGUUCUAGGGCUUUGACUUACUCAUCCAGUAGGGAGGUUUACCCUGAAAGCGUGGAGGCUUGAAACUUGUCUUUGAAAAAACUGAAUAAAGAGAGACACAAUUUUCACCAAAA